rnacentral:rRNA from 1 species
UAAGGGCGCACGGUGGAUGCCUUGGCACUAGAAGCCGAUGAAGGACGUUACUAACGACGAUAUGCUUUGGGGAGCUGUAAGUAAGCUUUGAUCCAGAGAUUUCCGAAUGGGGAAACCCAGCAUGAGUUAUGUCAUGUUAUCGAUAUGUGAAUACAUAGCAUAUCAGAAGGCACACCCGGAGAACUGAAACAUCUUAGUACCCGGAGGAAGAGAAAGAAAAUUCGAUUCCCUUAGUAGCGGCGAGCGAAACGGGAAGAGCCCAAACCAACAAGCUUGCUUGUUGGGGUUGUAGGACACUCUAUACGGAGUUACAAAGGACGACAUUAGACGAAUCAUCUGGAAAGAUGAAUCAAAGAAGGUAAUAAUCCUGUAGUCGAAAAUGUUGUCUCUCUUGAGUGGAUCCUGAGUACGACGGAGCACGUGAAAUUCCGUCGGAAUCUGGGAGGACCAUCUCCUAAGGCUAAAUACUCUCUAGUGACCGAUAGUGAACCAGUACCGUGAGGGAAAGGUGAAAAGCACCCCGGAAGGGGAGUGAAAUAGAACCUGAAACCGUGUGCUUACAAGUAGUCAGAGCCCGUUAAUGGGUGAUGGCGUGCCUUUUGUAGAAUGAACCGGCGAGUUACGAUUUGAUGCAAGGUUAAGCAGUAAAUGUGGAGCCGUAGCGAAAGCGAGUCUGAAUAGGGCGUUUAGUAUUUGGUCGUAGACCCGAAACCAGGUGAUCUACCCUUGGUCAGGUUGAAGUUCAGGUAACACUGAAUGGAGGACCGAACCGACUUACGUUGAAAAGUGAGCGGAUGAACUGAGGGUAGCGGAGAAAUUCCAAUCGAACCUGGAGAUAGCUGGUUCUCUCCGAAAUAGCUUUAGGGCUAGCCUCAAGUGAUGAUUAUUGGAGGUAGAGCACUGUUUGGACGAGGGGCCCCUCUCGGGUUACCGAAUUCAGACAAACUCCGAAUGCCAAUUAAUUUAACUUGGGAGUCAGAACAUGGGUGAUAAGGUCCGUGUUCGAAAGGGAAACAGCCCAGACCACCAGCUAAGGUCCCAAAAUAUAUGUUAAGUGGAAAAGGAUGUGGCGUUGCCCAGACAACUAGGAUGUUGGCUUAGAAGCAGCCAUCAUUUAAAGAGUGCGUAAUAGCUCACUAGUCGAGUGACACUGCGCCGAAAAUGUACCGGGGCUAAACAUAUUACCGAAGCUGUGGAUUGUCCUUUGGACAAUGGUAGGAGAGCGUUCUAAGGGCGUUGAAGCAUGAUCGUAAGGACAUGUGGAGCGCUUAGAAGUGAGAAUGCCGGUGUGAGUAGCGAAAGACGGGUGAGAAUCCCGUCCACCGAUUGACUAAGGUUUCCAGAGGAAGGCUCGUCCGCUCUGGGUUAGUCGGGUCCUAAGCUGAGGCCGACAGGCGUAGGCGAUGGAUAACAGGUUGAUAUUCCUGUACCACCUAUAAUCGUUUUAAUCGAUGGGGGGACGCAGUAGGAUAGGCGAAGCGUGCGAUUGGAUUACACGUCUAAGCAGUAAGGCUGAGUAUUAGGCAAAUCCGGUACUCGUUAAGGCUGAGCUGUGAUGGGGAGAAGACAUUGAGU